CAACAUGUGACCUCACUUUUGAUGACUGUCUUCUGACUGGAAAAGAAAUGGAGCCACGGAGAAUACCUCCCACGCAUGCAGGGAGAAGACUUUUCCAAAAACAGGAGGCAGUGAAAACAUGAGGCUGCAAGAUCUUACUGUUGCAUUUGCAUUUGUACACCAAGACUGGAAAUCCCCCUGCACCUGAUGUUCUCUGCAAGACAUUGCACCAUCCGUCCCACGCUAGGCUCUGAGUAAAAUGAGAGCGUACCAAGCACAGGACACAGCCUGGGAAACAGCAUCUCGUCUGGCUGCAGUACUUGAGCUCCUCCAGGCCCAAGGCUGUAAAAUUGGAAUUACUUUUUUUUUCCAGUUGCAAUAGUAUUAGGCUUUUUCCCAAACGUCAUGUGUAAAUAAAGGAAAUCAAAUUGUU